rnacentral:rRNA from 1 species
UAAGAGACAGCAGUAGCCGCGGUAAUACGUAGGGGGCAAGCGUUAUCCGGAAUAACUGGGCGUAAAGGGUGCGCAGGUGGUUUAACAAGUUAGUGGUGAAAGGCAUAGGCUCAACCAAUGUAAGCCAUUAAAACUGUUUAACUUGAGUGCAGGAGAGGAAAGUGGAAUUCCUAGUGUAGCGGUGAAAUGCGUAGAUAUUAGGAGGAAUACCAGUGGCGAAGGCGACUUUCUGGACUGCAACUGACACUGAGGCACGAAAGCGUGGGGAGCAAACAGGAUUAGAGACCCCCGUAGUCCCUGUCUCUUAUACA